AGUUAAGUUUUUAAAUUGUUUUUUGUAUUUAUUAAAAUAAAAUUGUCGACGUUUGUUAAAAAUGCCACGAAAGACAAUAUAUUUGAUUGGAUCAAUGGAUAAUCAAAUUCUCGGCAGUAAACUACCUACACUAAGGUACUAUAUGAAAGUUUUAUUUUUUAAUAUGCGAAUAGUGAAAAUGAAUUUGUCAGAAAGUGCAUAUUUAGCUAUUGAUGAAUGUAUCAUAUUCUGGAAAAAAGCACGAAUUCCAAUUAAAGAUCGAGCAGAUUGCAUGAAGAAAUUAAAAAAGUCGUAUGAAUUAUGGCGAAAUCUCGAAAAACAUAAAGAACGGAAAAGCGAAACAUAUACAUCUCAAAUUAAAGAGUUUGAAAAAAAAUUAGACAACUUAUUUGACAUAGCACAUGCAAAUGCAUUUAACAUAAUGAACAUUGAAAUUGAUAAAGAAUUUUUACGUUC
rnacentral:lncRNA from 1 species